rnacentral:rRNA from 1 species
UACGUAGGAUGCUAGCGUUGUCCGGAUUUACUGGGCGUAAAGCGCGCGCAGGCGGCACUGUAAGUAAGGUGUGAAAUAUCCCUGCUCAACGGGGAGGGUGCACUUUAGACUGCAGAGCUAGAGGACGGUAGAGGGGGGUGGAAUUGCUGGUGUAGCGGUGAAAUGCGUAGAUAUCUGGAGGAACCCCGGUGGCGAAGGCGGCGUUCUGGACUGUUUCUGACACUGAAAAACGAAAGCCAGGGGAGCAAACGGG